rnacentral:tRNA from 6 species
UGGCAGUAUAGGGCAGAGGCUGUCCCAACACGUUGUCAGCGUGGAACACACGGGUUCGAGUCCCGUUACUGUCGUC